rnacentral:lncRNA from 1 species
AGGAAAUGCCUAGGGAAAUCAAAAGAGAUCAUAAUUAAAUGAAAUUUUCUUGCAUUUUUCUUCAUACAGGAUUAGUUUCCGUCUCCCCUCUCUCAUCCUCCUCUGGCAGCCUCUCCACAGCACCCAUUUGUUUGGGAUGAAAUGAUGCAGAUAGGUGAGUUAUCAACAUUCCAGACAUGGGCAUGAAUCACCAGCAAACAGUCCACCCUCUGAGUCACCCAUCUCUGAGAUGAUUCCAUCAAUACAAAAUCCCACCAGAAAACUCCAAAAAGAGGAAAAAUGAGCUAUCAAGCAAGAAAGGCAUGGAGCAAUGGGAAGAGAGGAUGGCAAGUGAGGGUGGCAGGUAAAGCGACACCCCUUGGACAAGCAUAGUUUGGAUUCUUCUUAAAGUGAAAGUUUGCAGGGAAAGGGAACAGAAAGCUACAGAUGGAUUGAUCUCUUCACGCUGACACUGGGCAGGUAAACAGACUCUGAAGAUGAUAAGAACUCCUUAUCAAGCACGUUUUAUGUUAACCAAGACU